UGACGAGGGGGGCGUGUUUCUAGAGCAGAGCAUCCUUUUACCAAACCUGGGACACACAGACACUUGCAAGCACACGCCCGCAGGCAGAGGAGCAGGCGCAAAUGACCAGUGGCCACCUCCACCCUCGCUAUAGGGACACUCCUCACCCCCACGCACUUUAAAUUGGAAGAAUCCGGACUCACAGAGGCUCCCCUUAACCCAGUACAACCAGUUAUCGCCUCUCCAGAUUUUCAAGUUCCUUCUGUUGGUGCCUUUUACCUAAGUCAGCAUGUUUCAAACUUUCAGAAAAGAAAAGGAAAAAAAAAAAAACCUUAGAAAAUAAAAACCACUACUCCACCCAAAUGAUAAAAAUCUCUUCAAUUCUCCAAGCACAACAUCUUAGUCUCUCCUCUUAACUCAGCACUGAGCGAGAAGUUGAUUCCUUUGGGUUCUGGGGAAUGGCGGGCUCUGCCAGUCCCCACCUCACCAGCCUAAUAGUUUUUCCAGACUGACUCCUGCUUGGUGUUGCGGGACAGCCUGGAAGCCGACUCCUGGUCCCAUUCAUUGCUCUCGGUCCUCUAAGGGUCCAACCCCUCGCACUUCACCUGGACCAGAUGGCCCAAGUCCCAGCGUUCGGCCAGAGCCGCCUAUGCAAUGCUACUCCAAGCCCCAAGAAACCUACGCUACCGCGGGACGUUCCCUCCACACUGGUCAACAGGUCUGCAGAGCGCAGCACUCAAGAUCGCGGCACCGUCAUCCCCACCCAGCCGUGAGGCCAGCCGACUUUUGGCCCGCCUUGUCGGCCCCCGCCACCCAGAGACCUCCCCCGUCUUUCUGCAGGGCCGCCGCCGAUCCCUCCAGUUGGGGCAGCCUCAGGAGUCCGGGGCGCAGCGAGGAGACAUCCCCCCCACCCCACUCCUCCCCCAGGCGCUCUCGGCCUGACUCCCUUCUCCCCAACCUCCCAAACAGGUUACCUUGUCCACGCUCUCCAGACCACGCUUUGGACUUUUUCACUUUUAUUUAAGAGUCCACCCGGGGAAGGAGGAAAAAAAAAUCCAGAGGAGAUCCGAGUCAAUUGGAAAGAAAAAAAAAAAUUCAAAAGGGUGUCCACAGCGGCGAAAAAGCCCAGACUCUGCCGACCUUCAAACGACAACAGGGCUUUCAGGAGGGUGCGGGGAGACCACUUUCCACCCGAACCUGGCCAGAAACCCGGCACCCCCAGCCACAUCGGCCCUCUUUCGGGCAGAAGGGAUUCCAACUCCACCACCCGGAGGCCCCCUUCCGGGUCCUGGGCAAACACUGAGGUUGCUAAUGGCCACCCCACCGGAGCCGCUACUCCCCCUUCCCGACGCACUCCUCCAAGUGCUUGAGAAGGCUCCUCUAUGGCAAAAAUGUAGUGUAGGUCUCUCUUCCAACUUCUAUUGUGCCUGGCAAAGAUCCCGUUACCUUCACUGCACUGAUCAGUACAGUCACCCCAGUAAGCCUAGCACCCCCAAUUCCUUGCAGCAGCAGCUGUGUCUCCCAUUGGGAGUUGCUCAAUAUGCAACUAGAUUAAACUGAGGACUUGCCCUCCUGUUUUCACCGUGGA